AUGGGAAAUAGUUGUAACUCUGCUCACAACUAUGCGGCCAAAUGUUAUGACAAUUUGAAGAAUCAACAAUGCCAUAUUGAACAGCUAAUGGAGAGACAAACAACAGAAGAUAUAAGAGCAAACAGGCUGAGGCUUAGGGCAACAAUUGAUACAUUGCGGUGGCUAGCAUUUCAAGCCUGCCCUUUCCGAGGACAUGAUGAAAGUGUGGGCUCAAAGAAUCAAGGUAAUUUUCUUGAAAUGGUAAAACUGAUAGCUUCUUAUGAUGAGGAGGUUGGUGCUGUUGUACUAGGCAAUGCUCCAGGAAAUGCAAAGUAUACUUCACAAACAAUUCAAAAAGAAAUCAUGCAUAUUAUGGCUUGUGAUGUGCAAAGUUCAAUCCGCAAUGAAAUUGGCGAUGCCAAGUUUUGCCUGCUUAUUGAUGAAUCAAGAGAUGAAUCUAAAAGAGAGCAAAUGGCCAUUGUUCUCCGUUUUGUUGAUAAACAAGGUUUCAAUCGAGACUGUUUUUUUGAUCUUGUUCAUGUUAAAGAUACAUCUUCAGCAACUUUAAAAGAACAAAUAGAUUUUGUUUUGUCCCAACAUGAUUUGGAUGUUCAAAAUAUUCGGGGACAAGGAUAUGAUGGUGCUAGCAACAUGCAUGGAGAGUGGAACGGUCUACAUGCCAAGUUUAUGGAAGAGUGUCCAUACACAUACUAUGUUCAUUGUUUUGCUCAUCGAUUGCAAUUAGCUCUUGUUGGUGCAUCUAAAGAAGUAACCGAAGUCCAUAAUUUUUUUGAUCAUCUUGCUCUUGUUGUCAAUACUGUUGUGUCUUCUAGCAAGAGAAAUGAUGAGCUGCAUGCUAAUCAAGUGGCUGCAAUGGAGCAUCUCAUUGAGCUCAGUGAGCUUGAAACAUGA
rnacentral:rRNA from 1 species